GGGUCUGUGGGGUAGCUUGGUAUCCUUCUAGCUUGGGGUGCUAGUGACUCCGGUUCAAAUCCGGACAGACCCACCA
rnacentral:tRNA from 2 species